rnacentral:rRNA from 1 species
AGCGAACGUUAGCGGCGGGCCUAACACAUGCAAGUCGCACGAGAAAAGGGCUUCGGCCCCCAGUAAAGUGGCGGACGGGUGAGUAACACGUGGGUAAUCUGUCUCUCAAUUGGGGAUAACAGUCCGAAAGGAUUGCUAAUACCGAAUACGUCGGCGAGGACUUCGGUUCUUGUCGGGAAAGCCGGCCACUCCAUGGAAGCUGGCGUUGAGAGAGGAGCCCGCGGCGCAUCAGCUAGUUGGUGAGGUAACGGCUCACCAAGGCAAAGACGC